rnacentral:rRNA from 1 species
CGCUGGCGGCGUGCCUAAUACAUGCAAGUCGAGCGAACGGACGAGAAGCUUGCUUCUCUGAUGUUAGCGGCGGACGGGUGAGUAACACGUGGAUAACCUACCUAUAAGACUGGGAUAACUUCGGGAAACCGGAGCUAAUACCGGAUAAUAUUUUGAACCGCGUGGUUCAAAAGUGAAAGACGGUCUUGCUGUCACUUAUAGAUGGAUCCGCGCUGCAUUAGCUAGUUGGUAAGGUAACGGCUUACCAAGGCAACGAUGCAUAGCCGACCUGAGAGGGUGAUCGGCCACACUGGAACUGAGACACGGUCCAGACUCCUACGGGAGGCAGCAGUAGGGAAUCUUCCGCAAUGGGCGAAAGCCUGACGGAGCAACGCCGCGUGAGUGAUGAAGGUCUUCGGAUCGUAAAACUCUGUUAUUAGGGAAGAACAUAUGUGUAAGUAACUGUGCACAUCUUGACGGUACCUAUCAGAAAGCCACGGCUAACUACGUGCCAGCAGCCGCGGUAAUACGUAGGUGGCAAGCGUUAUCCGGAAUUAUUGGGCGUAAAGCGCGCGUAGGCGGUUUUUUAAGUCUGAUGUGAAAGCCCACGGCUCAACCGUGGAGGGUCAUUGGAAACUGGAAAACUUGAGUGCAGAAGAGGAAAGUGGAAUUCCAUGUGUAGCGGUGAAAUGCGCAGAGAUAUGGAGGAACACCAGUGGCGAAGGCGACUUUCUGGUCUGUAACUGACGCUGAUGUGCGAAAGCG